rnacentral:rRNA from 1 species
AUUGAACGCUGGCGGCAGGCUUAACACAUGCAAGUCGAGCGAGCGGCGGACGGGUGAGUAAUGUCUGGGAAACUGCCUGAUGGAGGGGGAUAACUACUGGAAACGGUAGCUAAUACCGCAUACCAUCAGAUGUGCCCAGAUGGGAUUAGCUAGUAGGUGGGGUAAUGGCUCACUUAGGCGACGAUCCCUAGCUGGUCUGAGAGGAUGACCACCCACACUGGACCUGAGCCACGUGCCAGACCCCUAGGGGGGGCAGCAGUGGGGAAUAUUGCACAAGGGGCGCAAGCCUGAGGCAGCCAGGCCGCGUGGGUGAAGAAGGCCUUCGGGUUGUAAAGCACUUUCAGCGAGGAGGCGUUACUCGCAGAAGAAGCACCGGCUAACUCCGUGCCAGCAGCCGCGUAAUUC